AUAUUCAAAUUUGGGUCUGUCGACAGACCUAUUUUUGGACGGAAAAAUUAGCGCCCAUUUUCUCUUUCCGUAUGAAAAUUUUAAAUAUAAGAAUAAGAAUAGAAAUAGAAACAGCAAUGAAUACAUAAGUUCUCUAUAACAGAUUACUGAUGUGAAAAUUUAAAAAUAUAAAUUUUUCUAUUUAAUUUUAAAAGUAAGUUUUCUAUAACAGAUUACGGGUGUGAAAAUUCUAUAAAAGAUAUUUUCUUAUUUAUUUUAAAAUAUCUUUUUUGAUUUUAUCUAUUUAAUUUCAAAAUAUAUUUUCUUUUAAGAUAACGGAUUUUAUUUCUAUUUAAUUUUAAAAUUUUAUUUCCUAACAUAUUUUAUUUUUCUAUUUAAUUCAAAAAUAAUUUUUGCAUUAGAAAUUAUUGUUAAUUAUUUAUCAUUUAAAGCAUAUCUUUCUAAUAGCGUGAUUUAUUAUUUUAAAUUUUUAGAUACAUAUUUGGCAAUCAUAUAAAAAUGACCUGAAAUCAAAAAUAAUUUAAAAAAAUUAUAACUUCUAAUAAUUAUUAAUGCAUUUGCACAUACAUUUUACUAGUAUAGUAUAUAAUUUAUAUAUAUAUAUAUAUAUAUAUAUAUAUAUAUAUAUAUAUAUAUAUAUAUAUAUAUAUAUGUAUAUACAGCAUACAUAACAGUAUUUAUUUAAAUAAAUUAUAAAAAUAAGUAUAACUUAUAAUUGUAAAAUUAAAAUUUAAUUAUUAAAUUAUUUAGUUCGUAAACUAUUAUGAGACUUAAUUAUAGGAAAAUUAUUUUCAAUAACAAACUAUUACCGAUAAUAUUUGAAUGGCCUACUCGCGCGGUGCGUUGAAUGGACAACUUCAGUAUCAAUACUGUGUCUUUCCGAAUCUGUAAUGGCAUAUUUUCGUAAUUUGUGCAUAAUAAAUGCUUGUCAGAGGGCCUUCAACUACAGGGCGACAUUUUUUUAUUAAUAUAUUUUUACUGUUUACUUUUUUAUCUAAAUAAUUUAUCAAUAGAUUCGAUAGUUGUGAUAAACACUAAGGUAUCGUUUGGGUCGGGGAUAAGAAAAAAGUGGCUAUUCCAGGGAUAGGUAUAAAUUGAGGUAUAAGCGGGGAUUAGAUCAAUUUUGCGUUUGGAUGAAAAUUGGGUUAUUCCUGCGAAUAAAAAAAAUAACGUUUGGUUAGAUAAGAUGGAAUAAGAAAGAUAAUAAUUUUUAUAAAUAAAAAAUAAUGAUAUUAUCCACUUAUUAUAUUUGAAUUUUUUUAAGAACAUGUGUAAGAAUAACACCCAGAAGCCGCCUGUCCCCUCCACGACAGGCAAGCCGCCAGACGAACGGCGCGGGCUUAGCACGGUUUAGCCGUCGCCAAGGCCCCGCCCCGCACUGUAUUAAAAUUUUAAAUUUAAAAUUUAAAUUUAAAACUAUAAAAUUAAACUUUAAAUUUUAAACUAUAAAUUAUAAAAAAUUUAAAUUUAAACUAGAAUUUAAAUUUCAAACUUUAAAUUUAAAAUUUUAAAACUUAAAUUUUAAACUCUAAAAUUUAAAGUUUCAAUUUUAAAAUUUAAAUUUUUAUAUAUAUAAAUUUUUAAAUUUUUAAAUNNNNNNNNNNNNNNNNNNNNNNNNNAAUUUAAAUUUUAAACUUUAAUUUUGAGAUUAUAAAUUAUAAAUUUUAAAAAUUUAAAUUUUUAAUUUUUAAAAUUUUAAAAUAAGAAUAGUGGUGGGAACAAUUAAUAAAAAUAAUUUAUUAUAAUAAAUUUAUAAAUUUUUUUAAAAUUCUACUUAAACUUAAAUUUAGCAAAAAGAAUUUAUUAUAAUAUUUAAAUAUAAUUUAUUAUAAAUUUUAUUAUAAUAUUUAAAUAUAAAUCAUAUGUAAUAUAGUACAAUUAAUAAUUUUAUAAUAAAAAUAAUGUAUUAUAAUAUAUAACAUAUUAUAUUUAUAUAAUUUAGUUUAAUUCAAUUUAUAAUUUUAAUUAAGUUGAAAUUAAGCAUUGGAAUAGCACUAUUCCACCAAAAUGGUGGAAUAGCAAAUCCCUUGCUAUUCCGGGAUAACCGGGAAUAGCAAGGUUUGACCGGGAUAAAAUAUUCCAGCCAAAUUUCACUCCGUUUGGUGGAAUAGCGGGAAUAACUUUCGUUAUCCCCGCUUAUCCCGCGAUCCAAACGGGGCCUAAGUAAAUAAAACUUGAAUAAUUAAGGGUUAAUUGCUAGUAACCCUGUUAGAUUUAAUAAAAUAAUAAUUUAACUAAUACUAUAACAAAAUAUAUUUUUAACGACGCUCUAUUCCAGCGUCUUCAAUAUUUGAUAUAUGCCGACAUCAUGAUAAAGUGUCGUCAAUAAACAUAUUUUUAUCAAAUACUGAUAUAAAAUUUUCGAUGUUAUAUUAAAAUAUCGAUAUAUUAUCUCGACAUAUUUACUUAACGGUUCUUUACUCGACGCUUUUACAAGUGUCGGAGCUAUUCUUACUGAUACUUUAAAACGUCACUAAUUAUUAUUUAAAGUAUCUUUAAAUGCAAGAUUUAUUGCAAUGUAACUAAAAUAGUUCAAAUUGAAAAAAUUAACAAAUAAAGAGAUCAACAAAUGAAGAAGUAUCGACCAACCUAUUUCAAAAUAUUCUAUAUAUAUUUGAGAGCUCUUCAGUCCAAUGUAAUCAAAAUAAUUGUAGUUAAUCUAUGCGGCGACGGGAUAAGCUUCAUGCACAGUAAGUUUUUGGACGUAUUAGAAGCAGUUUAUUAUAACUAUUAUUAUUAUCCUUCUAUAUAUAAUGUCUCACCAACUACACAAACAACAACAUGGUUGUAUAUUUUAUAUACACAAGUUGGGGACAAAACUUAAAUGGAAGGAUCCCAAAUUUUAUUGAGAAGAUCUACAAAAUCUGCUGUUAUAUGUUUAUAUAUACAGUAUGUAUCUUUAAAAAAGAGCUAAUAAAAAUCGGCAAAAAAAUCCGAUCCGCUUUAUUAUUUUCGGAUACAUUACUUAAAAAAAUGAAGCCAAAAUCUACAUCUUAAGAAAGAUUAUAGAGUUACAACGUCCAAUUUAAGUAUUAUAAUCUCGCCCCUAAAAUUUAUACAAUUCGUUUUGUAUUCUAAUAUAUAAAAGAUAGUGAUGUUAAUUAUUACUCUACAGUAAGUUUGGACUAUUGGAAGCACUUGUUGUAACUGUUAUGAGAAAUUAAUGAUCAGCUACUUUAUUUUAUAAUUAAAAAAAAAAUCUUAACAGCUGAUAAAUGAAAGUUAAAAAUGUUAUUUUAUUAUGUAGCAGGUUAAAAGAUUAUUUCAUGUGAGGAUAUUCUUGUAAUUAAACUAGACAAA
rnacentral:lncRNA from 1 species